rnacentral:rRNA from 1 species
UACGGGGGGGGCAAGCGUUGUUCGGAAUUACUGGGCGUAAAGGGCUCGUAGGCGGCCAACUAAGUCCGACGUGAAAUCCCAAGGCUUAACCUUGGAACUGCGUCGGAUACUGGAUGGCUUGAAUUCGGGAGAGGGAUGCAGAAUUCCAGGUGUAGCGGUGAAAUGCGUAGAUAUCUGGAGGAAUACCGGUGGCGAAGGCGGCAUCCUGGACCGACAUUGACGCUGAUGCGCGAAAGCCAGGGGAGCGAACGGG